UGAAGGUCAAAGCGCAGACUCCCCUUAAACGACUUUAAUAGAGGCUGAUGAGGACAAAUGGAGGACUGGAGAUCAUUCGGAAUACUAAUGGAGGCUAGAAAUCCUGCUCUCCGUUCAUGCAUGCUGUGUCUGAAUCUUCUAUGUUGUCCUCAAUCUCAACACAGAGUCAGUUAGGAUUUAAAUUCCUCUCUUUUACCCUUUCGGCUGUUGCUCUGUAAGUAUCCAUUAGAUACAGUUUGUAAAAUUAGAUUCAAACAUCUGCGCCUGAAAGCUUUGGCAAAGGAAAUCAUUCUUCCUUAACUACCAGUCAGUGAUUUCUGCCGAAGGUAAAUAGAUUCCGAGAAGAAGGAGGUCGGAAAUCUUCUUCGGGCCGUAAUUGCCAAGACCUCAAUUGCUCUCAGAUUCGUCCUUCUCCAUGCCAAACUACACCAGAGUUACCGAGAUGGUAAUCGGUUUGCUUGCGGCUGUUUGCAGUUCUUCACAUCUGACGUGGCGGACUACCGGCUCACAGGAGCUGGACGGGCAGCGUUGGCCUCUGACUCGAGGGGGGCCGUGAUCAUUUCCUGUGCGCCCCUCUGCCCCUUCUCCAGCUGACAGUGGCUCUAAUCCUCUCGGCUGCACUCUGUCCUGCUUUUCUGUCAAAUGAAAUGCAUUGCAGUUGAAUUAUGAAGUUAAUAAACAACCCCUAGCAUGUUACUGAAAUGACAGCAGACCAAUAAUGUCACUAUUUGUUCCAGUGUUGACUUCAAAACACGCAGAAGCUGAUAAAACAGGUGGUUAAUAGAGAGGAGUGAGAUAAGAUAUAUGAUGUAAUGUAAAAUAAUAUACAUAAUACAAGAAAUAUAAUGUUAUACUAGUUUAGUCUGUUGUUACAAGUAGCCCUACUUUAAGAAUACAACUUUUUAACUUCCUAAAUAAAUGUCUUGCAGUAGGCUACAGCAAAUUAGGAAUUUACAUACACAACGUGAUGCAUUGUCAUAGAGUUAGCUACCCAACAGUUAUUACAGUUAACUCAUUAAACAAAAAAUGCUGCUUACAACAAAUUAAUACAAUAUAAAUACAGAAAUAUGAUUUAGCCUUAAAUCCACUGUAAUUAUGUAUUAUAUUUUACUAUUUUACAUCAGCACACAGUUUAUAACAUCGUAUUUAUCCUAGCUCCAAACAGGAAAAUUAAGUUAGAUUCUACAGGUGUGUGACUGAGGAAAGCGCACGUGCACGACUUUGUUUAUCUUGGCAUCUCUCUAAUGCGCAUCACUUAUCCUGUGUUCAUCCAUGUUUUACUGUUACUGCUAGCUAGAGCAUCUGUGAAAUAAACUGACAGUAGCUUACAGAGUU